rnacentral:rRNA from 1 species
GACGAACGCUGGCGGCGUGCCUAAUACAUGCAAGUUGAGCGCUGAAGGUUGGUACUUGUACCAACUGGAUGAGCAGCGAACGGGUGAGUAACGCGUGGGGAAUCUGCCUUUGAGCGGGGGACAACAUUUGGAAACGAAUGCUAAUACCGCAUAAAAACUUUAAACACAAGUUUUAAGUUUGAAAGAUGCAAUUGCAUCACUCAAAGAUGAUCCCGCGUUGUAUUAGCUAGUUGGUGAGGUAAAGGCUCACCAAGGCGAUGAUACAUAGCCGACCUGAGAGGGUGAUCGGCCACAUUGGGACUGAGACACGGCCCCAACUCCUACGGGAGGCAGCAGUAGGGAAUCUUCGGCAAUGGACGAAAGUCUGACCGAGCAACGCCGCGUGAGUGAAGAAGGGUUUCGGAUCGUAAAACUCUGUUGGUAGAGAAGAACGUUGGUGAGAGUGGAAAGCUCAUCAAGUGACGGUAACUACCCAGAAAGGGACGGCUAACUACGUG